UACGUAGGGUGCAGGCGUUAAUCGGAAUUACUGGGCGUAAAGCGUGCGCAGGCGGCUCCUUAAGUCAGAUGUGAAAGCCCCCGGGCUUAACCUGGGAACUGCGUUUGAAACUGGGGAGCUAGAGUGUAGAAGAGGGGGGUGGAAUUCCAGGUGUAGCUAGUGAAAUGCGUAGAGAUCUGGAGGAACACCGAUGGUGAAGGCAGCCCCCUGGGCUAACACUGACGCUCAUGCACGAAAGCGUGGGGAGCAAACAGG
rnacentral:rRNA from 1 species